rnacentral:rRNA from 1 species
GUGUAACAACUCACCUGCCGAAUGGACUAGCCCCGAAAAUGGAUAGCGCUCAAGCCGACGACCUAUACACGACCGUUGGCCUAAAUGCGAUGGGCCAACGAGUAGGAGGGCGUGGAGAUUGUGAAGCAGCCUUGGACGUGAGUCUGGGUGAAACGGUCUCUAGUGCAGAUCUUGGUGUUAGUAGCAAAUAUUCAAAUGAGAA